GACGAACGCUGGCGGCGUGCCUAAUACAUGCAAGUCGAACGCAGUGGGGACGGGUGAGUAACACGUGGGUAACCUCCCAUCAGAGGGGAUAACACUUGGAAACAGGUGCUAAACCGAUACUGAUGGAUGGACCCGCGGUGCAUUAGGUAGUUGGUGGGGUAACGGCCUACCAAGGCCACGAUGCAUAGCCGACCUGAGAGGGUGAUCGGCCACACUGGGACCGGGACACGGCCCAGACCCCUACGGGAGGCAGCAGUAGGGAAUCUUCGGCAAUGGGCCAAAGUCUGACCGAGCAACGCCGCGGGAGUGAAGAAGGGUUUCGGGUCGGAAAGCUAUUUUGUUAGGGAAGCGUUAACUAACCAGAAAGGGACGGCUAACUACGUGCCAGCAGCCGCGGUAAUUC
rnacentral:rRNA from 1 species